GAAAAUACAACCUUUUCCAGUCUUCCAAAGGGCAAGACAACUUUUGAGAGAAUUGAAAAAAUUAGAAAAAAUUACUAAGGAACAGAAUGAGCUACUGGAGGAAGCUGUAAAGAAAACAGAAGAAUGCGAGCAAGAAAUUGAAAAGUUGAAACAAUUCUUAAAGAACCACUUGGUUGAAAUGUCACACGAGAAUCAGCCACUGGCUCAGAAUACCUCUUGCCCUGAGGGAGAAAUGGAAGCUGUAAAAGAAGAAAUCAUCAAGCUGUGCCAAAAAAAGGAAGAUAUCCUUACCAGGAUGAAGAAUUCAAUGUCUGAGCUUCACCAGCGCUUGCAUCAAGAAGUGCCUGAAGCAGAAGAUGAACCCACAGCCUCUGUAUUAGCAGAAAGUGACUUGAUU
rnacentral:lncRNA from 1 species